ensembl:lncRNA
AGUCCCUAUCAUCUUUCUUUCAAGGAUGAAGCGACCCCAUAACUCUGUGAUUAACACACACUGACUCUGGAUGUCAGCGGAGAUGAAAGGAGGGGAUCAGUUGCUUUUGAAGAAAAGGUGGCCGUCUGGAUGGUGCAGGUGCAAGGUGGCUGGGGCUGAAGGCAGCAGGUGGUUUGGUUCUCUGAAGACAAAUUAGGGAACGCAGAGGAUGACAGAUGGGCAGGUGCUGGGUCAUUGUGAAAGGGGUUUCCCAGGAAUCUCUUUGUGGCAGAUUAGUUUGGGAAAUAACUCAAGCAACAAAGAGAAGAGAAAUGAGAGACCAGGGAGACCAACCGUCCCUUAUCUGCAAUUCCAAAGGAUUCACCUUCCCCAUUCUCGCUGAGGCGCUCCUGAGCUUUCCAAAAGAGCCACGGCAACAGCACAGCCACAGCCACAGAAGUGCAGUGUCACUCAGGACACAGCAUCAGACAUACCGCACAGAACAGGGCGAAGAGCUGAUUACAAGAGCAAGAUGUGUAGGAACCAGUGCCUUCUGGUAUGUUGAUGGAACUACUGCUGUGAUGAUCAUCAGUGCUAAUGAUCCAUCAUGGGAAUGUUAUCGUGACACUUGGCCCAAUUUACGUGGAUCCUUUUGUUGACUUCUGCUUGGUAACCAGGGUGCCACUGUCCAGGCCUGCCCCUCACAUUUGUGGGGCAAGGCCAAGAGUGCAAAUGGAGGCCUACGUAGUUAAACGUUACAAAUUCAACUGACAACCAAAUUUAAUAGCAAUGUGAAUUAUUUAAUAUUGCAAAAUGUUCCUUAGCCACCAUAGAUAUACAACUGCUGUGAAAGCAGCACUGAUCAAUGAGAGCAUCCAGAAGCACACAUUGGAACACGAAGAGAAGCAAGAAAGUGGAUGCCGGCACAGCUGGGAAUUUUAUUGUUAUUCAAGAAUCUAUUGCAUUCCUGGUCUCUGAGAGGAAGGAUUGGAUAAGUUAAUCUGUCUUUUCUUGAUCUGAGCACACUGCCCACCUCCGAUGCCGCACCUUCACAGCAGUCAGACAGUCCACCUUUGUUUGAGGCUUCAGAGCAAAAGGUUUGGAGGUGGGUUUCCUGGGCUCUAAAUGGUGCUCACCAAGAGGCUGGAUGUUUAGGUUUUGUGUAUGUAAUAUGUGGGGUGCUCGAAAGCAUGGGGUCCCGUUGUUGGGUCAGCAUUGUUUUAUUUCAUUUUGUUUUAUCUUUGGAUCUUAGAUCCAGAUAUUUUAGUUCAGCUUACUCCUCACUUCAUGAUACAAAAGUGCUAGUACCUGGAUUUAUUUACUAUAUCUGGUCUCAUCGUCAUUAUUACUUUUAGUCUAAUAUCUCAUUCAAGUUCUCUUCCUAAAAUUUACAAUGAAGAAAAUAAUAACCGCCUAUGUUUCUAGCUUUCUCUUUGUAGAUUGCUUGAAACACAGGAUGCUUCUAGCAAAUUCAGAUUCAAACUUAGUGAAAUCUGAUUUAUUUUACAAUGUUAAUAUAGGUUCCAUCUGGGGAGUAGCAGUGCAAGGAGAAAGAGGAGAAACUUUAAUUUUCACUGUAUAUACUUGUGUAUUGCUGUAAUAUUUUUUAUCAAGCAUUUACUACCUUUGUAAUAA